rnacentral:tRNA from 1 species
GUGCAGGAAGUAGUUUAAUUAGAAUAUUAAUUUUGGAGAUUAAUGGUGGAACAUAGUUUUCUUUC